AUAUAUAAAUCACCAAUAAGAACAUGAAAAAAUAAUUUAUUGCAUAAUUUACCAGGGAAGUGAAAAUUAAAACCACAAUGAAGUAAUCCCAGCAUAGUGACCAAAAUUCACAAGAUCAUAAUAGCAAUAUCCACAAGUAUUUCACAGCAAUGAGAACUCUCACACACCGGUUGGUAAGGUGAGAAUAAGCACAACCACUUUGGAAAAUAACUUUGUAGUACCUUCUAAACUGAGUCUCCUAGGAGUUCCCUUGUGGUACAGUGGGUUAAGGAUCUGACAUUAUCCCCUCAGCAACUUGGGUUGGUGCUGUGACUGACAUGGGUUUGAUCGCUGGCCCAGGAACUUUCACAUGCCAUGGGUGUGGCCAAAAAAUAAAAAUAAAUAAACUGAACCUUCUAAACUAAACUGUAUGAGCCAGGAAUUCUAUUCCCAAUAAUAUACUCAACAGAAACGCAAGCCCACAUGCACCAAGAGGCCUACACAAGAAUAUUUGAGGCAGAACUAUUUAUAAUAGCUUCAAAAGCGAGUGAAAGCUCUUUGUUCCCUUUGAGGUCCUCCAGCUAGACUAAGAUGGAGUAAUGCCUAUUUACUCUUCUAUGCUUUUCUUGUCUUGGAGUGAAGUAGAUAGGAUGUAAUAUAAUAUACAUAAGGUGAUCUGCAUUUGUAGAUAUGAAAUUAAACUUCCCAUUAAGAAGACCAAGGUAUGUACCCAGAAAGAAAGGGUGGGGAAAAUUAUUUGAAAAUCAGAAACUGGCAUUCCUCCUGACAGCUAAUGUCUUAGAGAUCUUUGUGACCAGUAUGCUAAGAUGGAAAAAUGACUUUUAAGAAGUUAUAAAAGCAAUUCAUUUACAUAGUAUUUUUUUUUAAAAAUUAAACAGUUUAGAAGGACAUAAAAUGAAAUGUCUCCUUCCCAUUCAUAGUUCUUCAAAUAUAACCACUAUUUUAGGUAUACUUUCCAAGAAAAGAUAAAGGAUACCUAUGUCACUUUAUGCACACAUGUACUCUAUUUUUCACAUCUACUCCAUGCGAUAACACUACAAAUACCAGUCUACUACUCACUUUUUUCUCUUCACAUUAAUCAAGACUGUCUUACCUUCUUAUAUUUGUAAGUUUACCUCAUUCUCAAUGUCUGCAUUGUGUGUCAUUGUAUAAAUAGAAUAUUCUGAAGAAGUGCUAUAUUCAUUAGUUCUAUUACAUUAUUUCCAGUGUUUUGGCAAUUAUGAAUGAUGCCACAAUAAAUAUUGUUUUACAGCAAGUUUCACAUACUUUCCUUAAGGUAUUUUCCCAGCAAUAGAAAUGUGGGAGUAAGCUUAUGUGCUUUUUUUAAAACCCUAACAUUUAUUUUUUCACUUUUAUCUCAGGGCAGGAAACUUUGAUCAGUAGUUAAAGAUGGGUACUUCCACUUCCUUUUUUCUAAUUCACUAAUGCACCCUGCUCUUCGAAAAAACUAUUUCUCAGACGUGCUCCUUGGGGCUCGUGGGACAGAGUACAACUGUCAGAUCCAAACCAAACCUGCCAUUCCUGAGAAGACACCUCUCUUUUGGUCUUAGCCCUGGGAAGCCCAGGCCUUCAUGCUGCUGUGGGUGUCACUGCUCGUCCUGGCUCCUGUCAGUGGACAAUUUGCAACUGAACCAAAACCUGUCAUUUCCCUUCAUCCUCUAUGGACCACCUUCUUCCAAGGAGAGACUGUGAUGCUGACUUGCAACACAUUUCGCUUCCAUGCACCAGAGAAAAUAAAAUUGUACCGUUGGUACCUUGAGGGAGAAAUACAAAGUGAAACCCUAGGAAAUACCCAUGAGGUCCGCGAAACUGGAAUGUACAAAUGCCAGGCCCAGGAUUCACCCCCAAGUGAUGCUGUUCACUUGCUCUUUUCUUCAGCCAACCUGAUACUGCAAGCACCGCCUUAUGUGUUUGAAAAAGAAUCUGUGGUUCUGAGAUGCCAAGCAAAGGCAAACACAGAACUGAAUGGCAUGACACUGUACAAACAUGGAGAAGUCUUGGGAGUCCCUAAAAAAACCUCUGAAUUCCGUAUUUAUCAAGCAGGUCUGAAGGACAAUGGUGAAUAUCGAUGUACUGGACUUAAGAAAGACAAUGAAACUAUUUCUUCAAAUGCAGUCAAAAUAGAAGUUCAAGAACUGUUUCCAAGGCCUGUGCUGAAAGCCAGCUCCACCCAGCCCACCGAGGAGGGCACACUGACCUUGACCUGUGAGACCCAGCUCUCUUCACAGAGACCAGAUGUCCAACUCCAGUUCCGAUUCUUCAGAGAUUACACAUCCCCACAGCCAUAUUGGAGAUCUUCCCCAGAACUUCAAAUCUUCACCAUACAGAGAGAAGACUCAGGGUCUUACAGGUGUGAGGCACAGACAGUGACCCCCCAUCUCCAGAAACAGAGCCAGCAAUUGCAGAUAAAUGUGCAAAGAAUUGUUGCUGAUGUCCGACUAUACUCCCGCCCAGAACUGGUGUUUGAAGGGAAGGAGUUGGUUCUCAUCUGUUCAGUAAGUGGAGUUCCAGCGCCCAUCACAGUCUCUUUCUUCAAAAAAAGACCAUGGAAUAAAGAUACAAAGAUUGUCACAUCCUCAGAAACAGAAUUCAAGAUCCCUGCAGUGGAAAGCAGCCAUGCUGGAGAGUAUUACUGUGCUGCUGGAAAGAAUCACCGCUCUUUUCCCAGCCAGACAUUGACCAUAAGUGUGAGGGUCCCUGCUUCUCAUCCUGUCCUCACACUCAGCCGUUCUAGAGCCCAGACACUUGAGGGAGAUGAGGUGAGCCUUCGCUGUGAAGCUCGGAGAGGUUCUCUACCCAUCUGCUUCCAGUUUUAUCAUGAAAGUAUGUUGCUCAAAAAGGCAGAAGGCACUAUAUGGAGAUCAGUGUCCUUCAGAUUCACUGUGACUGCAGAGCAUUCUGGGCACUACUACUGCACAGCUGACAAUGGCCUUGGCCCUCAGUACAGUGAGGCUGCAAGCCUCUCUGUCACCGUUCCAGUGUCUCGCCCUGUCCUCACCCUCAGGGCUCCCAGGGCCCAGCCUGUGGUGGGGGACGUGGCGGAGCUUCACUGUGAGGUCCAGAGGGGCUCUCUCCCAAUCCGAUACCAGUUUUAUCAUGAGGCUGUUGCCCUGUGGAGCAACUCAGUGUCCUCUAAAAAAGCCUUCUUCAGGUUCUCUCUGACUGAAGGACAUUCUGGAAACUACUUCUGCAAGGCUGACAAUAACCUAGGGGCCCAGCGGAGUGACACAGUGUCACUCAGUGUCAGAGUUCCAGUGUCUCGCCCUGUCCUCACCCUCAGGGCUCCCAGGGCUCAGGCUGUGGUGGGGGACGUGGUGGAGCUUCACUGUGAGGUCCAGAAAGGCUCUCCCCCAAUCCGAUACCAGUUUUAUCACAAGAAUGUCACCCUGGGGAACGGCACGUCCCUCUCUGGACAAGGAGUGUCCUUCAACCUCUCACUGACUGCAGAACAUUCUGGAAACUACUCCUGUGAGGCCGACAAUGACCUGGGGCCCCAGUGCAGUGAGGCAGUGACACUUUCCAUCACAGUGAUGACAGGGAGCAGAAGUGGCUCUGUUGCCACCAGUGUCACUGGGGGGCUGCUCAGCCUGGUGGGCCUUGCUGCUGUGGCACUGCUGUUCUAUUGCUGGUUCCCAAGAAAAGCAGGAGGAAGGUCUACCUUGGACUCUUCCAGGCUUGGCAACUAACCUGUGGUAAUGACUCACUGACGGGGAAUGAUCAUCAUAGCUCCUUUAUCAGGAUUUCUGGGAAACAGCGGGGUGUCUGUCUCCUAGGAACCAUUCAGCCUCGGACCUCCACGAGCCCACCUACUACAAUGUACCAGGCUGGAUAGAAUUGCAACCAGUGUACAGCAAUGUAAAUCCUAAAGAAGGAGACAUCGUGUACUCGGAAGUCCGGAGCGUGAAGAGGGAGAACAGACAUGCAGGUGCAGUGGCCUCCGCACCAGAGCUUCUCAACGACAAGGAUGCCUGUGUCAUCUACUCGCAGGUGAAGGUGGCUUCAGCCCCAGCCCCUAAGCCCCAGCUCUUGGAUUCAUCCACUCCUCACAGAUGAGUCCACACAGCUCCCAACUGCUAUGUCAGCUUCUGCAGCCCAAAGCCAUCCUUGGGGGAGAAGGGACAUCCAUGUGAGAAGAUGUAAAACCACCCCAUGCCACAUCAAGUGGGCUGUGCACCAGUCUGAACAGACCAGAGGGCCCUGAAGGAACUCCAUCUACUUCUGAAGUGACAGCUCUGGCACCAUGGUCCUUUUUUUCUAAUGACAUGUUGCUCCCAAUCCAGGGCGCAUCACAUCACCUGGCUUCCUCAGUGGGCUUCAGCUUUGGUCACUAUACUGAGUCCUAUUCCCAUGCACACCCCUAUCUUUCCUCAAUGAGGACUGCACCUGACAACCUGCUCUCAGAAAGCAGGAAAGCUUCUCAAACUUAAAAGUGCUUAUGGGUCAGCUGGGGACCUUGUGAAAAGGCACACUCUGAUUCACCGGGUUUGGGUGGUGGCUAAGAUCCUGCAUCUAUGACAAACUCGCACAUGGUGCUGAUGCUACUGCUCCUAGGACCAUAUUGAGUACCCAAGCUCCAAAGUUCUUGGCAGAGGCCCAUGGGGAAGCAGCACGUGCUCUGGUUGCCCACCGCCCAACUCCAUGGGGGCCACUCAUGCAGAUCACAGGCUCCCUGCACCAUCCUUUCACUAGAACAUCCUCAGCAGCUGUUGCUGAGAGAACUUCUCUGCAACACACUGGGUUUCAUCAGCCUCCCUGGGUCAGGAAAAAGUAGCUGCCACCAGCUUGCUUCCCCACCUCAGGCCUCACACUUUCCCAAAAAGGGGAUGAAUACAGAGUGAAUAAUGCACCCUUUAGCCCUCUCCAUUCAGCGCCCACUUCCCUCUCCAGCCUUUCUCAUAAUCAUCGCUCUCCACAACCUACGGUCCCUUCCCUAUUUUCUAAUGUAGCCUUUCUGCACUUCCUCUUUCUAGAAGUACUUUCCCAUCAUUUGCAUUUGCUGAAACCCUGCUCAUUCUUUGAGCUCCAACUCAAUGGCCCAUCCUCCACCCUCCCAGAAGCAGUCUGUUUCUUCUUUGGGCUCCCACAGCACUUUUAUACUGAUGCUCAAAUCAAUGAUGGUUGAUGUUUGGGGGGAAAUUUUGAGUUUAUCUAGGCCACUUCUCCAAUUUUGUGGUUGGAAAUUGAGAACCAGAGAGGAAGAGCCACUAACUGAAAAUCACACAACCUGUUAGUGGCGAAGUGCACACGAAAAUAAACCCAGGAGUCCUGGCACCCAGGGCGGUGCUCUUUCCUCUACAUGGCACCUCUGCUACAGAGAUGUGUGCAUUUUUGUGUUUCCCUAACAAGACUGAGAGUUCUUAAAAGCAAAGCUGAAGGGGUGAGCAUGGUGUCUGGCAUUCACCUGGUUAUCAAUGAAAGGUUAUCAAAUUGGAUAUCUAUUAAUCUCCCUGAUGAAUAAACAUCACCUCUACAAAUUCAUCGAUAUCAUUAUCUGCUCUCUUAACCCAGCAAAGUGCAAUAUGUGUCCCUUGAUCUCAGAGGGUUUUUUAAACAAUACCAAUAAAAUCACUACUAAGA